CUGCACUGACAUCAUGUGUCGAUAUUGGCCCUAUCUUCAAAAGGUGGCUCAAGCAUUCCCAGAAAUGCAAAACCUGACUCAGAUGAAGCCAUUUCUCUCAGUUAUGCAUGCAAAGGGGCACUCUACAAAAUGUGAGGUGCAGUGGGGUGGCAAAAAUCAAACAGGGGCAGGCACAACAAUUGGUGAAGAAGUUGAACAAGUGAACAGCUUUUUGUCCCGUGUGGCUUUAACUACAAAAUACAUGAGUAAGGCUGCACGAGUAGAUCUGGUCACAUUGCAUGCCAGAGGAUGGAAUGAGCGCAAAAAAAAGAAACCUGCACAAGUACUUGUCUACACAGUACUUGAAG